CGCAGAGCAGCGGGGAGAGCAUCAAUCCUCCGGUUUCCACCACUAGGACAGGCUGGGACCAGGGGCCAGGGCACUGGGACAAAGCCCCUCGGAGGCUGAGGCACAUUCUCACGCUGCUCGGAGCUAAAAAUGGCUCCGUGGGAACGGAGCGGCAGAGUCAGGGAGGGAAUGACGGGUGAGCAGGUGAGGAAGGCCGGGGGGGGGGGGGGGGGGGGGGGAAGU